rnacentral:tRNA from 1 species
GCCUCAUUAGCGCAGUAGGCGGCGCGUUCAUCAUCGAAUGUAGAAAUCUGAAGGUCGUGAGUUCGAUCCUCACACAGGGCA